GGUCGUAUUGCGCUGGCUGUGUUCCCGCGUACCUCGCAGCGCCCUAAGCCUCCGGCCCCUUACCGGGACUCCAGGGCGGCCUCACCUAUUCACUUAAUGUGCUUGCCUGCACAGACUCAUGGGGUACUUGGCUUUUUUUUUUUUUUUUAAAGCGAGCUCCAUUGCCACUGAAGAAAGUGGCGCUGUGGGUUGGCCCUGAGGCCACAGAACACAGAAAUAAAGGGAUGGCGGUGUAGAUUGGCUCCUCAGCCAAGGUGAAAAGUUCACGGAGCUCAGAAGGACGAAGCUGGGCUGGGCCUAUUUGGGUGACUUAAAUUACCUUUACAUGGGCCUCCGCAAGGGGCAAGAGUCUUUCUUGGCAACCGCAGGCAGUAAGAGUGGUUUCAAACAGAAAACUGAGAUUGUUAUGAGCAGGGUGUGGCCGGAAAAGUGACCCAGGUUUGUCCAGCUGAAGGAGGUAGUCGUUUCGCUCGCUAGGAGAGGGGCUCUGAAGACAGGCUGCCGAAUGCUGCUCCAGUGCACGCAAGAUUUAAAAUCCCACCUUGCAGGAGUGCUGUUACGGGGAAUGACUUCAGUUGAGUACGCGAUAAAUGUUAGCUGCCUUUGUUACUGGAUUUGUACUGAAAGCAUCAACAGAGUUAAGAGGUGGAAGGAAGAAAAGGAACAGAAAACAACCAUCGUCGUCAGCCGAGAGGGGAUGUGCACUUAUUUGAAAGAGGCUCUAAUGAUGCAUACACUGUAUCCUUUUAAAAACUUAAAAAAAAAAAAAAUUUACUUGAAAGGGAGAGCACUACCAUCUACUGGUUCACUAACCAAAUGCCCCCAACCAGGGCAGAAUCCAGAAGUUAGGACCUCAAUCCACGUCUCCCAGUGAGUGCCAGGAACCCAAUGACUUCAGCCAUCCCUGCUGCCUCCCAGGGCCUGCAUUAACAGGAAGCUGGAAUCAGGAGCCGGAACCAGGUUGUGUUUCUCCACCUGGAAGACUUUGAGUGAUUUGUCACUUUUACCUCACACUAUUCCUGGAACCCCUUGUAAAAGUGCUCCUGUCCACAGAUGACCACAUCUCCCAAGUUUUCUCUCCUCCUUCCCAGCAAGCACCCAGCUUCGUGCAAAAACUCAGAGGAAAUACAUCCUUGUUGAUGGACCGAAUUCUGAGAGAUUGAAGAGGGAGUCAUUGACAACUAAAGUGGCAACAGCCAGCUUUCAUUAGACCCUGAAAGUGUUCUCACUGAAGAAGUGCGUGAUUCUUCAACAGAAGAAACCCAGAGACUUCUCAGCGUUAGGGAGCUUGGCAAACAGUUCUUAUUCAUAGUGUGAUUAGAGCAUUAUCUGAACC